GAAUCUUAGACAAUGGGGGAAACCCUGAUCUAGCUAUGCCGCGUGAGUGAUGAAGGCCUUAGGGUCGUAAAGCUCUUUCGCCAGGGAAGAUAAUGACGGUACCUGGUAAAGAAACCCCGGCUAACUCCGUGCCAGCAGCCGCGGUAAUACGGAGGGGGUUAGCGUUGUUCGGAAUUACUGGGCGUAAAGCGCGCGUAGGCGGAUUAGUCAGUCAGAGGUGAAAUCCCAGGGCUCAACCCUGGAACUGCCUUUGAUACUACUAGUCUUGAGGUCGAGAGAGGUGAGUGGAAUUCCGAGUGUAGAGGUGAAAUUCGUAGAUAUUCGGAGGAACACCAGUGGCGAAGGCGGCUCACUGGCUCGAUACUGACGCUGAGGUGCGAAAGCGUGGGGAGCAAACAGG
rnacentral:rRNA from 1 species